AUGGCUACUGUAAAGGUUUCUGCUCUCAUAAUGAUAUACUUAUUCGCUUUCUGCAUCUUCACAUCAGAUAUGUGCAUGAAAUCAGAAGCAGCUUGUACUGAAGAUGUAGAUUGUCAAGCUGGAUGUCAUGGAAAACAAGGGCAAUGUAUUCGUGGAAGAUGUUGGUGUAUUGGUUCAAAAUCUUUAGAUGAUAUUACUCCAGAAUUAAUACCUUCAAUUGAAAACUGA